GACUUAUAUGCAGUGCUGCCCCACUUAUGGCAUACCACACCCCUAGGAAGAUUCAUUUGCACCCACAGUUAAGUUUCAGGCAACAGAUCAUGACAUUUAAACAUUUAUUGAAGCAUUUUAGUCUGUCUUACUGUGUGGUGUAUAGUUGGUUUUAUUCAAAGUGAUUUUAUCCUGCUGUUUUGAGUAUUUAUUUUAUUCUCUUUCUGUCUGCAUAAGUCACUGCUGCUUAAACCCUGCAGCUUUUCUAGUUUUUAGUAAACCCCCCCCCCAAAAAAACCACAAUUGUGGGAAGAAUUCAAUGUUGCAUUGUUACAAAUGUUCCAUCAGUGCAAGCAUUUCUGCUUGCCUUGUGGAACAAUCUCCUCUUUCUUCCCGCAAUGUGCUCUUUCUGGAGGUUGUUCCAUCACCACCUUGAACCAGUUUGGGGGUGUGCAAGGUGGAGAACUGGCUGGAGAAUUGCAUUGCAAAAUUCAGAGAAGUGCAAAUUUCAAAGGAGGAUGUAUUUUGGUUUGCAAGUGCAAAUGAAGUAGGUUCAUCUUUAGAAGUGAACUGAAUCCAAUUUCUCCCUCAUUCCUAGAGGUAGUUAAAGGCAGGAGCCAUAGCUUAGAGCUCCUUUGGUUUUUUACAGCAAUGAAAUAUAACUAUUCUCUUAAAUAAAAGUGCAACUAGAGUUGGAUGGGGGUAUGUAGAGGUUUAACCCCUACCACAGGUAUGGCCAAACUUGGCCCUCCAGCUGUUUUGGGACUACAACUCCCAUCAUCCCUAACAGGACCAGUGGUCAGGGAUGAUGGGAACUGUAUUCUCCAAACAGCUGGAGGGUCAGGUUUGGCCAUGCCUGCCCCACCAUUUUGGGACAGUUUAUAGUCUGAUACUUUGAGGAGUCAUUUGCUCUUUUUUCUUUUACAUUUGCAACAGAGUGACUGCCAUUCUUCUGUUGUUACAUUUUUUAUCUUUCCCCUGUUGAACUAUAUUAGAUUUUAUUGCUUUUCGAAAAAGUACAUGCCUAAAAUUUAAGAGCAUACAAUACUGGAUUAUGGAUAUUUAUUCAAGAAACCACAGAAAUGUUCAAAGCAGUAUUUGAAGCUUCAUCAUAACACAGUUCACAGGAAAUGAUACUAAGGCUACGUAAACAGAUGCAAAAGGGUGUGUGUGUUUCUUACCUUCUAAGCUUGUAUGGCACCAUUUCAUUCUUUCUUAUCUAUAUUCAAUAACCUUUUUAAAAGAAAAAGAUUUCUCAUCUGAAGCACACCACCUGGUGAAUAUGAACUGUCAUUGUUUUACGUGAAGACCAGAUUAACAUAUCUAAUUUUUCAAUAGUUCCAAACAUUUUUAAACAUUUUCCCCCAACAUGAGGUAGUUAUGAAUUAUCGUACAUCCAACUUCGGAAGCCAAGUCUGCUGAAUUCAGCAUUUGGGAAUCUAUAUUUGCAGUUAGCAGCUCAACUUGGGGGGCAAUGAUAAAAGUGCAAAGUGAUUUAUUUAUUUUUAGUCAUUAUAAAAUAAUUCAAAUGCACAGAGCAAGUGAGACAAUAUCCUACUCGAAUCAAAUUUGCAGAUACAUAAAGCUCUUCAUCAAAAUUGAUGCUUAGACCUAGAACUCAUAGGAGUGAUGGGGCACUGCUUACCUGACCUCUUAGCAGGUGGGUUGCUGUUACUUACUGGGAGGGAAAGUGGAAUGGGCAAGGGGGAAGGAGGUCAGCGCUGUGCAAACGCACCAGCAGGAGCACCACAUUGGCUCAUCCGGUGCACCUGCACAGGGCUGAACUCCAUGCCACCUUGACCCUCUCACUUUCUCUCUCUGCAAGCAGCUGCGAUCCACGUGCUGGGAGGUCGGGUAAGCACCACUAUGCCAUACGCCACCAUCUGCUACUAGCCGCCAUCCUAUGUAGAGUAAGCCCCAUAUUUCUGCAUAAGAUCGCUUUGUCAAAAUAUUAAAAAGAAGAAAAUGCCAUAAUUUGAGAUGAAGGCAAGAUUUAGUUCCAGUUGUGCACCUUCAAAUGCCUUCUUUCCAAUGAACAAGAGACACAUGCUUAAAUCUGAAUGAAAUGGGUUCAUGCUUAGUGGUAGAACAUCUGCUUUGCAUGCAGGAAGUCCCAGGUUCAGUCCCCUGGGAACGUCCACUGCCAGAAAGCCUGGAGAGCUGCUGCUAGUCGGUGUACACAAUACGGAGUAGAUGGACAAUGGUCUGACCUGGUUUAUGGCAGCUUCCUAUUUUUCUGUGUUUCUCUGGACCAACAUUUCUGAAAGUGCAUUAGGUAAAUCAACGGUCAACAAACUGUUUGGAAAUAGUGGGCACAUUUUGAAUUUUUAGAGUGCUGGGGGUGCCAGUCACAAAAUGGGUGCCAUGGAGGGGGCAUGACAUAACACAAUAUGGCUGUCUUGGGGAAUGACAUAAAACUAGAACAACCUUAUGCUUACCAUGAAAAAUCAGCUAUUUUCCGCUGAUCCUGACACACAACACACACACACACUGAAUAGCAACAGGGAGCAUUCCUCAGCACCAGAAAAAAUAUGAAAAGUUGCCACACCAUUCUCAUUUUACAGAAAUUGCCUAGAAGCAAUUUUGCUGCCCCAUAGCUUUCUUUCUAGGAGAGCUACAGACUUAAUUUUUAAAAUAAAAGUUCAGAGUCUAGGGCACCUGCCCAAGGACACCAAGAAAAACCUUUGCAGGUGAUAUGCCAGCCAUAGGCACCAGUUUGGAGACUCCUGGGGUAAAUAGUGAAUGGCUGAGAGAAUAGGUGUGAGCUGUGCUGAAUGAUGAUUCCCCUCCCCCGAACAAUCUGUUUGCCCUCAUCGGGUGGGCAGCUUGGCAGGUGGGCCUCAGGUCUCCCCUAUGAACUGGCCUAUUGUAGGCUGGAUGAUCCUCUAGCUGCUGAAUUGGCCAAUGGCAGCAGAAAUUUAGGGAGCGUUUCACUGGGUGCAGUGCCAACUGACCAGUAGCGGUGCUUGGCACUGUGCCUGGGGCAAGGAUAAAUGCCCGGCCUGCAGGGCUUUUUGGCCUCUCUCGUAAUGGAAUUCCAUAAGGGAUGUGGCAAGAUGAACCAGAGUCAAUCUUGAGCUGCCAUUGCCCAUGGUGCAUAUAUGCUAGGUGAGAUGGAAGUUAGCUGAGUUACAAGCUGAGCAGUAGUCUUUACUGCUCUUUUAAGAAAGCACCGAAGGGCAUUCUCCUCAAUAAAAAUCUCUCUCUCAAAAUGUGUUGGGAACCUGUUCCCAUGUGCAGCCGUCUUUUUCAUUUUCCUUAAAGCCCCCCAAAUGCCUUCAAUUCAUUUAGAACAUUUUGUUUAAAGCUUCAAACCUGCAAUCAAAGCCAUUCAAACAACUGCUAGUUGCAUAAAUGGCACUGUGUCUAGCUUGGGUCUUGAUGGCCUGCCUUGGCCCACAGUGAAGUUUCUUUUGUUUGUUUCUUUAGCACUUCAAGCAGUCCAUAUAGCCCUUAAAGAACAACAGUAAUAACAGCAAGGAUACUACCCACUCCCAUACAACGGUGCCCCACAAUCUAAAGUGAAAGCUCUGGUAUUCUUCUCUGUCAGAGAAAAACAGAAAAUAUGCUGAUAAAUUAAGGGUCUGACAUGAAAAGACAAGAUUAGCCAUUUACAAAACAUCACAUUUUGACUAAUGCUUCAUAGCUGGGUGUACACAAAAAGAAGCAAGAAAACCCACAGGAAUGGGGAGGACAAUUGUUUUUUAAGUGCAAACUUUUUGCUUCUAUUUUUUAACCUCACACAUCUCUUUAAAAUCUGGAUUAACCUUCAAGGUGGAAGAAUGGAAUGGAAUAAGCAGCCUUUCAUUUACUUCCAAAACUAACAAAAAUGUUCUGUGUGGAAAUUUAUGUCACCAACACAGACUGACUCUUACUCACAGGGAGCAGAGAUAGAAUUACUGCCAAUGGAAUACAUUCCUUCACGUACUUUGCUUCCAAGACACACUCACUAUGCCACGUAAAUUCAGGCAAUAGCCAUGCUCUGACGGCUGAGAGCUAUGCAAAAAACCCUCAGACAGUUAUCCUGCAGUUAUCCUGUCCAGAUAUUGGGGGACUGCAUGAAACAAUCUGGGGGUGCAUUUUACACCUAUGUAAAACCAUGCCCUUCCCAUGUCAUAGGGUGACCACUUACACAGCCAC
rnacentral:tRNA from 1 species